GAUGAACGCUGGCGGCGUGCCUAAUACAUGCAAGUCGAGCGAAUGGAUUAAGAGCUUGCUCUUAUGAAGUUAGCGGCGGACGGGUGAGUAACACGUGGGUAACCUGCCCAUAAGACUGGGAUAACUCCGGGAAACCGGGGCUAAUACCGGAUAACAUUUUGAACCGCAUGGUUCGAAAUUGAAAGGCGGCUUCGGCUGUCACUUAUGGAUGGACCCGGGUCGCAUUAGCUAGUUGGUAAGGUAACGGCUCACCAAGGCAACGAUGCGGAGCCGACCUGGAAGGGUGAUCGGCCACCCUGGGAAUGAGACACGGCCCAGACCCCUACGGGAGGCAGCAGUAGGGAAUCUUCCGCAAUGGACGAAAGUCUGACGGAGCAACGCCGCGUGAGUGAUGAAGGCUUUCGGGUCGUAAAACUCUGUUGUUAGGGAAGAACAAGUGCUAGUUGAAUAAGCUGGCACCUUGACGGUACCUAACCAGAAAGCCACGGCUAACUACGUGCCAGCAGCCGCGGUAA
rnacentral:rRNA from 1 species